UAAAUAGUUUCUAAGUAACGACCGUUUCAAAUUCUACUAAUCCAUGUGAAAACCGAUGUUAUUUAGAGAAUAACCUAACCGCUUUACGCGUAUAUUAUCUUCGUGAGAAAGCCUGUAAAUGUCAACGUCUAUUUUAACAUAGAUCUGUAACUUUCAAUGAAAAUUGUAUGUUAUUAAUUCGAGCAAAACGACGGAAGCUUAAAGUAUUUAAAAUUCAAGUACUGCAAUAUUAUAGCAGUGAAACAUCUAUAACAUAGUGGUGCCGAGAUGUACAAUAGACUGCAACGAUUGACAAACUGGCUUUAUUU